GACAGAGGGUGCAAACGUUGUUCGGAAUUACUGGGCGUAAAGCGUGUGUAGGCGGUCUUACAAGUCAGGUGUGAAAGCCCCGGGCUCAGCCCGGGAAGUGCACUUGAUACUGUUUGACUUGAGUACUGGAGAGGUUGGUGGAAUUCUCGGUGUAGAGGUGAAAUUCGUAGAUAUCGAGAGGAACACCUGUGGCGAAGGCGGCCAACUGGACAGAUACUGACGCUGAGACACGAAAGCGUGGGGAGCAAACAGG
rnacentral:rRNA from 1 species